rfam:Chloroflexi bacterium RBG_13_50_21 RBG_13_scaffold_7250, whole genome shotgun sequence.
CUCUUAUCCAGAGAGGUGGAGGGACCGGCCCUGUGAAACCUCGGCAACCUAGCAGCGAAAACGCUAAUUGUUCCAAGCAAAUCGCUUUCAAGGUGCCAACUCCGGCAGAGGUAUUUUCUGGAAGAUGAGAG